rnacentral:sRNA from 1 species
UCCAGGCAUGGUGGUGCAUGCCUGUAGUCCCAUCAACUUGGGAGGCUGAGGCAGGAGAAUCACACAUUCAAACCCAGUCUCAGCAACUUAUCCAGGCUCUAAGCAACUCUGCAAGACCCUGCCUCUA